rnacentral:rRNA from 1 species
UUUAGCGCGGACGGGUGAGUAAGAUAUGGGAAUCUACCUAAAGAUGGGGGAUAACUAUCGGAAACGGUAGCUAAUACCGCGUAAGCUCUCGAUGAGGAAACUGAUCGAGAGGAAAGCGGGGGAUAUGUCAUAAUCAUCGAUAUACCUCGCGUCUUUAGAUGAGCCCAUACGAGAUUAGCUAGUAGGUGAGGUAAAAGCUCACCUAGGCAACAAUCUCUAGCUGGUCUGAGAGGACGACCAGCCACACUGGGACUGAGAUACGGCCCAGACUCCUACGGGAGGCAGCAGUGGGGAAUAUUGCACAAUGAGCGAAAGCUUGAUGCAGCUAUGCCGCGUGUAUGAAGAAGGCCUUAGGGUUGUAAAGUACUUUCAGUUGCGAAGAAAAAGAUGAAGAUAACACCUUCUUCGGAUGACGUUAGCAACAGAAGAAGCACCGGCUAACUCCGUGCCAGCAGCCGCGGUAAUACGGAGGGUGCGAGCGUUAAUCGGAAUUACUGGGCGUAAAGGGCACGCAGGUGGUAAGUUAAGUUGAUUUGUGAAAUCCCUGGGCUCAACCUAGGAAAGCAUUCAAAACUAAUUUACUAGAGUCUUGUAGGGGGGAAUAGAAUUCCAUGUGUAGCGGUGAAAUGCGUAGAGAUAUGGAGGAAUACCGAUAGCGAAGCAAUUCCCUGGACAAAGACUGACACUCAUGUGCGAAAGCAUGGGGAGCAAACAGGAUUAGAUACCCUGGUAGUCCAUGCUGUAAACGAUGUCGAUUAGGAGGUUGCUACGUUUAAGUAGUGACUUCCGAAGCUAACGCAUUAAAUCGACCGUCUGGGGAGUACGGCCGCAAGGUUAAAACUCAAAUGAAUUGACGGGGGCCCGCACAAGCGGUGGAGCAUGUGGUUUAAUUCGAUGCAACGCGAAAAACCUUACCUACUCUUGACAUCCAAAGAAAUCUGCAGAGAUGUAGAUGUGCCUUCGGGAACUUUGAGACAGGUGCUGCAUGGCUGUCGUCAGCUCGUGUUGUGAAAUGUUGGGUUAAGUCCCGCAACGAGCGCAACCCUUAUUCUUUGUUGCCAUCGAUUCGGUCGGGAACUCAAAGAAGACUGCCGGUGAUAAACCGGAGGAAGGAGAGGACGACGUCAAGUCAUCAUGGCCCUUACGAGUAGGGCUACACACGUGCUACAAUGG